UGGCGCAUGCGCGUUCCGGUAUGUUUUCCCCGACCGAGGGCGCGCCGGCGCGGUUCCGGAGUUGCUGCUGGGAAUGUUUCGCUGAGGUGCGUCCCCGACCCUAGGGUGCGACCGCAGUGGCCGGUUUCCGAGCCCCGCCUGGCGAGGGGCACGCGGUGGGCAUUCCGGUGUUGCCAUGAAACGAAACUUCUUUGCUAAACUUGGUUGGUCGAGACUUUGAAGUUGUUGAAUGCCCGCCUCAGAAAGUUGCCUCGUUCUCUGGGCUAUUUGGUUGGCUUUUUUUAGUUAGAAUAUCGGCAGCGAAAAUGAGAAAUCCCCUAAACCUUGCCGAAGUAAAAACUGGCUGCAUUUUUUUUUCCUCUGCUGUGAUCAACUGGGGUGCCUUUUUUUUCAAAAUAAAGGGUCUUUUAUUACUUUAAAAAGCAGUGCUAAGUAUAUUAAUUUAGGAUAGACUAGGAAAAGAAAAGAUGAAAUCGCGCUGGCUCUCCUUAGAGGAAAACCCUGAACAUCUCAUCGUGUGUGUUUCAUUCAGUCUUUUUGAGUGCAUCUGUUCUGUGGGUGCUGUACUGAUUGCAUAGGAGGUGCCUGUGUUUAUUUCUUUAAAAAGCAUUUAUUGAAUGACUACAAGUAAGCAGGUGUAUCGAAAGAUUCACAGAUAAUCAGAAGCUCGUCGUUGGAUCUGCAGAGAGCUGGUCAUGGAGGAAAAAAGACAGGUACACACAGAUGCGUGUGAUGCCACGUCAAGAGAGAUCCCGGAUUUGGGAGCUGCAGGCUUCAAGAGCUCAUCUUCAGCUGUAGGGAGAAAUUGAAGUCAGCAGCAGCAGCUCUCCUACCUCUUGGAACCUCAGGCCAUUUUGCACUCAAUAGAACACCCUCCUUUAGAUUUGUUAGAAACCUUCAAGAAAAAGAAAUAUAGCAGCUGGUACUAAAGCAGCAGCGUUAUGUUAACUCUUUCAAACUAUAUAGUGCAGAUGCUGUGAUUCUGAUAAAACCUCCCUCCAUCCUACCUCUCACCUAAACCUACUGAGAAUCCCGGACUAGGAGGAAACAGGCUGAGCGGUUUGCUAAGGGCGGAGCACUUCUGCUAUCCAUACUGCCCAUAGAUGGAGUGGACUUCUUUCGAGAAGCCCAGCUCCCAGACUCUGACGUGUCCAAGGAGGCUGCCAAGUGACAAACACCUGGCAUGGGAGCCUGAGCCCUGGGUUCCCAGAGGGGCCAGGCCCCCAGAGCACACCGAUUUGGAACAAAUCGAUUUUGUCUCAACUCCAGGAGUGCAGCCUGUCUCUACAGUAGCCCUCUGCAGCUGCCUUGACCAGGUCAGCGUCAGAUAGUGCAAGACGAGGACUGCGUUACAUGCCCUAUCAUGCUUUUACACGGCAGUGCUCUGUAAUUCUACCGAGCAGCUGUUUGAGGAGCACAGAUCUCCAUCUUCUACAAGCCGAGAAGCAAAUGGGAAUUGUUGAUGAAGCUGUGGUCUGGGGUGCGGAGGCCAGGCAUCCAGUCCAACCUCACUUCUAACUAGCUGUGUGCCAUCAGGCCUGUGAGAGCCUCCUGAUCAUUACCUACAGAUAGACACUCAGAUGGAUAUAUGUCCUCUGAAUGCAGAAACAGUCACAUGGACAAACACCUUGAGCCCUGGCUUAUCGGAAAUGCUCAAGCACCAGGGUGAUGAAUUUCACGGAUUAACCAAAGACCAAAACCUACCUACUCAAGUCAGAGAGCCUGACAGUCAAAUCCUGAAGCUCUGACACUGCCCAAUCAAGUGGGGACCUACUGCCUUUCAUGGAAAUAUUUCCUCUUCGUCCACUAAUCAAAGAUUUAUGAAUGACCUAUUGUGGGCAAGGAGCUCUACGGGGUUCCAGGGAUAUAAAGUUAGAGACACUACAGUCGUGCUUCUGCCACAUAUGCAGCAUUGUGGAUUCCUGUCUUGAUUGCUUCCGCAGGUGUCUGCAUCAGAAGAAGGCUCCUGACUGAUGGAUGAUGGGGUAGUGCAGCAGUCCUGUUUGGCCUGAUGCUCAGCCCAGAGAUGCCUGUGAUGAGGUGAGAUGUACAUUAUCUUUACUUGGCGGCUUCUGUAAGGACUGUAGGACUACACUCUUGUCUGUACUUCGUUUUCCUGGAAGCAGAUCCUGAGACAAGGUGCAGUUUGUUUAGGAGGCGAUCCCAGAAAACACCAGUGGGAGAGUGGGAAAGAAAGCCGGAGGGAAGUGAGGCAUUAACUCCUCCAGGCCGGGUGUGGUGGCUCAUGCCUGUAAUCCCAGCACUU